UUAUUUUGAUUUUGAUCCCUGUGAUAUCUUACUUCCCAGGUUUAACCUUUAAUUAAUUAUAAUCAAUUAUUUUAGUCCUUCUACUAACGGUGAUAACCAAUACAAACAGAUUUGUUAUUUCUGUCAAGGGCAAUUAUGGCACUUCACAAUAAGAAACACUUUUAUACCGAAAGCAAAACCUAAAAAUAUGAAGUUCACAAAUCGUUCCAUAACAUCUUUUCUCAUACACAAUCAUAUUCAGCCCUCCACCCUUCUUCCAUUAGGAUGUCAAUCCUCUAAUACAGUGAUGAAAGUGGCAUACUAUUUGUUGAUUGAUGAGCAAUUAUUCUCUUUAGUUGCAUCCCCUCUUAUGUGAGAACACAAUUUAGCAACUCCUCUUGUUACACCUACAAUAAUUCAGUGCACUUGUUGAAGAAAGACAAAAUCAUUUAGCUAGACAAUGAAACUCCGUUAUAAGAGUGGGCUACAAUUCACACCAACGUGUAAGUAUUUGAUCAAUUUAUUAAUUAGCAUAAUCUUCAAUGUUGAUUGAUAAAAAGAAAUAAAAACCUUAGAUUACAUGGCAAUCUUCGAGUAAAUUUAGUUAUAAGAUUACUAAUGCAACAAUAUAAUUUUGUUGGAUUCUAUAUAAUCAAUCAUCUUUUAAAAUAUAUUCUAGAUUAUAAUAUGAAUAUAUUGUUAUUGUCAUUAGCAUGUUGGGUCUAAUUUUAUGCUUGUAUUGGUUUUCUGUAAACACAAUACAGUGAUGAUUCUACUUGUAUUGGUUUUCUGUUGAAUUUGUAUCAUUUACAUUUUUUGUUAGAGCUAUUUAUUAUAGUAACUCUAAUACAUUCUUUUUUUUUUCCGCACAACAGAUGAAGGUGAAGAUUCAAAUAUGUACACUAUCAAGCUAUAUUAUAAGGGUUGGUGGGUUUUUGAGCCAGUGAUGAACUAUGUUGAUGGACAGAUUGCUUAUUAUGAUUAUUGCAAGGGAGAUGAAAAUUCCAUCAUUCAAAUGAGAAGGUGUAUGAAAAGGCUGAAAGUUAAUGAUAGGAAAGUGAAAUUUUGGUUCAAGUCCGGACCUUAUUUUGAGACAAAUAUAAGGCAUUUAUCAACUGAUUUAGAUAUAUAUAACCUUGUCAAUGAAAUGCCUGACAGUAGAGAGGUGGAAAUAUUUGUUGAGCACACAGAUAAGGAUCAAUGGAACUAUGACGUGGUUGAUUCUGAGGGGAGCCCAUUACAGGACGAAGAAGGUUUGAUAGAUGUGAAUAUAAUAGAGAAAAGUGAUGAGAGUGAUGCCACAAGUGAAGAAUGUGAGUCAUUUCAUGACUCUGAUUAUUCAAUGGAGGAAGAUGAUGUGAUUUUUGAUAAAACCAUCGACUCUACUGUAGAAUGGGUUGGUUUCAAUGGGAAAAAUAAAGAUAAUCAAGAUAAAGAAAAAAUUAUAGAGCUUGGAGUUGCCUCAAACAUGUCGGCUAUGUUUCCUAACGACACUCAAGAAGACGAUUGUGCUACAUCAGAUGAGGAGUUAAUGAGUUUACAUGGAGAUUCGGAUGAUGAAAAUCUUAAAAGAACCAUUGUUUUUAAUCCAACUAGGGAUUUGGAGGAUCCAAAAUUUAAGUUUGCGCUUAAUAUGAUUUUCAGUAAUAGCAAAGAAUUCAAGUGGGCAGUUGAGGUGCAAGCCGUGUUACAAAAAAAAGACAUCAAGUUCAAAAAGAAUGAAAGUACAAGAUCGAGGGCAACUUGUAAGGUGUCAAAUUGCAAAUGGUUCAUAUUUGCAUCAAAGGCUAAUCAAGAUGAACCUUUCAAGAUCAAGACAAUAGGCCCUGGCCAUUCUUGUGGCAAUCAAAGAGAUAACAAGACUAUCGACUCUGGUUUUUUAGCUAAGAAGUACGUAGAAGAAUUUAGAAUUAAUCCAAGUUGGGGAGUAAAAGAAUUUCAAACUCAUGUGAUGAGGGCUCAUAAUUGUACCAUUACUCGAAAUCAAGCUUAUAUGGCAAAGAAGAAGGCAUUAGAUCUAAUAACAGGGACUAAAGAAGAGCAAUUUGAUAUGUUAUGGGAUUAUUGUGCUGAGCUAAGGAGAAGUAAUCCAGGGACUACAUGUAUCUUGAAGUUGGAUGAAAGUCCAGAAACAAUGGUCAAUAGCAGAAAAAGAUUUUUAAGACUCUAUAUGUGUUAUGCAGCUUGCAAACAGGGAUUUUUAGCUGGAUGUCGACCCAUAAUAGGGGUUGAUGGAUGUCAUUUGAAAGGGCACCAAAAAGGGAGUCAGUUAUUGACAGCAGUAGGCAUUGAUGGAAAUGACAACAUAUAUCCUAUUGCAUUCGCAGUAGUGGAAGGUGAAUUGAAGGAAACAUGGAGUUGGUUUCUUACACUUCUUGAUGAAGACUUAGGAAUCUCACAAAAUCCUUUUGCAUGGACUUUCAUUUCUGAUAAGCAAAAAGGUCUAAUACCAGCAUUUGAUGAGAUAAUGCCAGAUAUUGCGCAUAGAUUUUGUGUGAGGCAUUUACACAAUAAUUUCAAAACUGAAGGUUUUGGAGGACAAACAAUGAAAGAUAUCCUAUGGAAAGCUGCCAGGGCAACAACAGAACCUGAAUUCUCCAAGCAUAUGGAAGAGAUGGCAAAAUUAGAUUCAAAAGCCCCUGAAUGGUUUAUUAAUAAACCUCCCAUUCACUGGUCAAGGGCUUUUUUUUCUUCUUUUCCAAAAUGUGAUGUUUUAUUAAACAACUUGUGUGAGUCAUUCAACAGUGUACUUCUACAUGCAAGAGAUAAGUAUAUUUUGACAAUGCUUGAAUUAAUUAGGAUCUAUAUGAUGUCCAGACUUCAAAAGAAUAGAGACAAAAUGAUGAAGUAUUGCCAACGAAUCUGCCCUAAAAUCAUGUUAAAGCUAGAGAAAAAUAAGGCAAAAGCUGUUGAAUGUAUUGCCAUUAAAUCUGACCAAUUCCACUAUCAAAUUGAGGAUAUCUAUCUUAGACUAUUCUCUGUCGAUCUUAAGGAGAAAACCUGUUCUUGUAGGAGAUGGGAUUUAACAGGAAUUCCUUGUAGUCAUGCUAUUGCAGCUAUAUGGGUUAAGAAGGAUGAGCCCGAUAUAUAUGUUCAUGAAUGCUACACAGUUGAGCAGUAUAUGAAAAGUUAUAGUCCAUCCAUCUUGCCAAUUGCUAACACUGAGCAAUGGCCUAAGACAGGGAUUGAACCACCUCUGCCACCCAUAUAUAAAGCACAACCAGGCAGACCAAGAAAACUAAGGAAGAGAGGAAUUGAUGAGACAACUCAAAAAGAAUCAGAUUCUAGAAAGCAUACCUUGUUAAAAACAUCAAGAAAAGGCAGAAAAAAGAAGUGUGGAUCAUGUGGAAAAUUAGGGCACAAUAGCAGAAAGUGCCCUAUUCUUAUGGGAAGUAACCACUCUGAAGUUCAACAACAACCAGUCCAUCAACAAGUCGAAAAAGAAGGCCCUUCUACACUUAGUAAUGCAGCAACAGAAGUAAGUAAUCAAAUAAGUUGAUUCACUUCACAAGGAUAAUAACAUUAAACAUAUUUUCUUAUUGUAGGUUUCAAACACCAUUGUUGAGAGUGUGAUAUCAAUGCAGCCCAGCUCCUCAUUUGUUACUGAACAAAUUGUAAUUACCUUUUCUUGUUCUCGACAUAUGUUAUUUGUAUCAAAUCUUAAAAGCUGACUUAUUUUCUUUGUAUAUUGUAGGUCAAUCAACUUAACAAACAACCAAGGGUAUCACAAGAUCAAUUGAGGAGUUCUGCAUUCGUUUUAGAAGAAACAGGCGACCAUUCCAGAGAAGGUACAAGACCACUUUUCAUCGAGAGAAUGGGAAAACAAUAUGUCCCACCAUCAAGAUUACAAGAAGCACUUUCUCAAAGUAGCAAGAGAUUGAGAAGUAACCCACAAGCCAAAAAGAAAAAUGUUCCUUGAACAAAGAAGUUACAAAAAAUUGAUGACAAUAUGUAGUUGAAUUAGAGCUAGUUUUUUCUCUGUGACUUUAAAGUUAAUCAUGCUCAUGGCUGAUUGAAGUUACUAAUUUAGAAACUUUGGAUCAGCUUUAAGUUAAAAAAUAAUCAGUUUACUGAGUUGCUUUAGCCUAUCGAUUUAAUUUCAAAGAGCACCAAAAUCAUAUAAUUUUAUGUCUAAUUAGAACUUUAUUUCCUUGAUAUAAAUCUCAAUUAACAAUUCAAAAAACUAAGUGCAUUUCACAGGUUAUCUCAAUUGAUUCUCAACGUAUACCUAAAUUGAAUACUCACUACCAAAUUAGUAUAGUAUCUGAGAUGCUGAAAAAAAUUAAGAGAGGAGAGAGGAUUAUUACCACUAAUACAAAGCGUCCUUCAAUUACGAGAGCAGGCUUGUGGAGAUCUCUAUAAAUGUUCAUGUAGAGAGAUGUACCACCUUAUCUCUGUUGCAAUUCUUUCUAAAAGUUAUUACAAACACUCACCAAACCUGAAAACAACAACGCAAUUAGCUUGAAAUAGUCAACGCCUAAUCCAGGAUAUGAUUAGAGGAAAAAAGCAAGUGAAAGAUGUGUAAUAAAAAAGUAGACAUAUAGUUAUCGUGUGCAUUGAUAAUCAACUCACAAACUGCUCCUUUGUUUUCCCUCAAGAGGUCCAAAAUAGGAUCAGUAAUGCUAUUGUUCAAGAUUACCUUAGUCCCUCAGACUUCAUCACGUGGUCCUUUAACCCCAAUGGUAUCUUCUCAACCUAAUCAGCCUAUACAAUCAUCCUACACAAAUUUAGGGAAGGCAACAAAGUGGCUCACAUACUAGCGAUGGAAGGAUGUAAAAGAGCCACACUAAAUGAAGUAAAGUUUUUGCAGCUCCCUCCAACGUGGACUGAAGAAGCCCUAUUACAAGAUAAAGAAGGAGGAGUUAUUAGUAGAAAGUCUAAUCUAGCAGUUUGUAAUUACCUAGCCAAACUGGGCAAUUUUAGUAUCUCAAGGACAAAUGUACAAACUAGUAGUUUUUUAGUAUUCUUGGAUGUACCUUCAUAUUUCACUGCCAAAUAACAAUUUAGUUUUUUCAAGGCCCACCUUUCUCUCAAUACGCCAAGUCUUAUUUUGCUCUUAAUUACAUGAGUAACUAAGGAGAAACAUAGUAUAGGUUGAGGUUUAUGACUAGCUAUGAAUACAGCAUACAGGUCUUGCCGUCUUGGUCGACAAACAUGAUUGUAGGAGAUUCUAAUUGACAUUUUUGAAGAGACAAAGAGCAAUUUAGGUUGUCACUUGUUUAACUUCUUUCAGCUCCAAUAACAAUUCAAAAUUAUAAAGAAGACUAUGAUUAAUUCAUAGAUUUCACAAUUCAUAUUGCAGAAAAUGAUUAAUUCUAAAGUUGAAAAGCCAAUACUAAUUGUUACUGCAAUUUUACCCACCUUAAUCUUGAGCUCAUAAUUUUUUUGUAAGAAAAAGUUUCAGAUAUCAAAUCAGAUAAAACACUAAUUUCCUUAAUCAAAAAAUUAGAUAAAAAUAAUAGAAUUCAAAAAUAAAAAACUUGAUCGAAGCCUGUAAAAAGAAGAUGGAAGAGGGACGAAAAGAAAGUAUACCUCUGCCUCGAAUAAAAAAAUGGCUAACACAAAUCAAAAUUUGACAUAAUUUGAGCAAAAAUCACUCCAAUAUGAGCUCCUCUAUGAUUUUUCUCUUGAAAUUUCAUCAAGAAUUGAUUAAAUUUUCUCAUUUGAAGAGAAGUUAAAAAUCUACAAAGACAUGGAGAGAGAAAGAGCUUUAGAAAGUAAUAUUAUAAACACUUAACUUUUACAAUUCAACACUUUACUUUGGACAGAACAAUUUC
rnacentral:lncRNA from 1 species